rnacentral:ncRNA from 1 species
GAUCAGCAUCUGUCGGGGCAUGGAAACAUGCAUCGGAACUCCCGGCAAAAGGACUUGCAAAGGUGAUUUCCCUUUC